AGAGUUUGAUCAUGGCUCAGAUUGAACGCUGGCGGCAGGCCUAACACAUGCAAGUCGAACGGUAACAGGAAGCAGCUUGCUGCUUCGCUGACGAGUGGCGGACGGGUGAGUAAUGUCUGGGAAACUGCCUGAUGGAGGGGGAUAACUACUGGAAACGGUGGCUAAUACCGCAUAACGUCGCAAGACCAAAGAGGGGGGACCUUCGGGCCUCUUGCCAUCAGAUGUGCCCAGAUGGGAUUAGCUUGUUGGUGAGGUAAUGGCUCACCAAGGCGACGAUCCCUAGCUGGUCUGAGAGGAUGACCAGCCACACUGGAACUGAGACACGGUCCAGACUCCUACGGGAGGCAGCAGUGGGGAAUAUUGCACAAUGGGCGCAAGCCUGAUGCAGCCAUGCCGCGUGUAUGAAGAAGGCCUUCGGGUUGUAAAGUACUUUCAGCGGGGAGGAAGGUGUUGCGGUUAAUAACCGCAGCAAUUGACGUUACCCGCAGAAGAAGCACCGGCUAACUCCGUGCCAGCAGCCGCGGUAAUACGGAGGGUGCAAGCGUUAAUCGGAAUUACUGGGCGUAAAGCGCACGCAGGCGGUCUGUCAAGUCGGAUGUGAAAUCCCCGGGCUCAACCUGGGAACUGCAUUCGAAACUGGCAGGCUUGAGUCUUGUAGAGGGGGGGUAGAAUUCCAGGUGUAGCGGUGAAAUGCGUAGAGAUCUGGAGGAAUACCGGUGGCGAAGGCGGCCCCCUGGACAAAGACUGACGCUCAGGUGCGAAAGCGUGGGGAGCAAACAGGAUUAGAUACCCUGGUAGUCCACGCCGUAAACGAUGUCUACUUGGAGGUUGUGCCCUUGAGGCGUGGCUUCCGGAGCUAACGCGUUAAGUAGACCGCCUGGGGAGUACGGCCGCAAGGUUAAAACUCAAAUGAAUUGACGGGGGCCCGCACAAGCGGUGGAGCAUGUGGUUUAAUUCGAUGCAACGCGAAGAACCUUACCUGGUCUUGACAUCCACAGAACUUUCCAGAGAUGGAUUGGUGCCUUCGGGAACUGUGAGACAGGUGCUGCAUGGCUGUCGUCAGCUCGUGUUGUGAAAUGUUGGGUUAAGUCCCGCAACGAGCGCAACCCUUAUCCUUUGUUGCCAGCGGUCCGGCCGGGAACUCAAAGGAGACUGCCAGUGAUAAACUGGAGGAAGGUGGGGAUGACGUCAAGUCAUCAUGGCCCUUACGACCAGGGCUACACACGUGCUACAAUGGCGCAUACAAAGAGAAGCGACCUCGCGAGAGCAAGCGGACCUCAUAAAGUGCGUCGUAGUCCGGAUUGGAGUCUGCAACUCGACUCCAUGAAGUCGGAAUCGCUAGUAAUCGUGGAUCAGAAUGCCACGGUGAAUACGUUCCCGGGCCUUGUACACACCGCCCGUCACACCAUGGGAGUGGGUUGCAAAAGAAGUAGGUAGCUUAACCUUCGGGAGGGCGCUUACCACUUUGUGAUUCAUGACUGGGGUGAAGUCGUAACAAGGUAACCGUAGGGGAACCUGCGGUUGGAUCACCU
rnacentral:rRNA from 1 species